rnacentral:rRNA from 1 species
GAUGAACGCUGGCGGCGUGCUUAAUACAUGCAAGUCGAACGGACAGACCAUGCUUUUGUUGGUUGCUCGAGUGGCGAACGCGUGAGUAACACGUGAGUAACCCGUCCUUAACAUUGGGAUAACUUCUGGAAACUCGGGCUCAUAUCGGAUAGGAUCUCCUGCUGCACGGUGGGGGUUGGUGAGAUUCGGCGGUUGGGGCUCUACUCGCUGCUUAUCCGCUUGUUUGUGGGGUUGUGGAUUACCAAGGUUUUGACGGGUAGCAGGCCUGUGCGGGUGAGCGGCCACACAGGGACUGACAUACGGCAGAGGCUCCUACGGGAGGGAGCAGUGGGGAAUAUUGCAGAAUGGGCGGAAGGCGGAUGCAGCAACGCCGCGUGCGGGAUAACGGUCUUCGUGUUGUAGAACGCUUGCGCCUGUGACGAAGCGUGAGUGGCGGGAAUGGGUAAAGAAGCACAGGGUAACUACGUG